rnacentral:rRNA from 1 species
UAAAAGGGAACACACGAAUGAGCCUACCCCGUAAUUAUAGUUAGCCCGGAGGCUAGUAUCUUUACACCGUUGUAAUAUAAAAUGAUUGCCCGUAAAAUAGCGUAAACUUGGGGAUUGAUACCCUAUUAUUUUGAGUGUUAAUGUUUUUACCUGAGUAGUAUUAGUUGUGUUCUUGAAACUUAAAGAAUUUGGCGGUAUCCUACUCCGUUCAGAGGAAUCUGUCUCGUUAUCGAUAGUCCGCGUUGGACCUUACUUAGGGUUAAUUUUGGUUUGUAUACCGCCGUUUAUUGAUUAUCUUUUUAGAGUAUCAUGAAUUUUCUGGUUUCUUUAAUUUGAUUUAUUGCAGGUCAAGGUGCAGCUUUUUCUAAGUGUAAUGAUGGAUUACAGUGUUAUGUGUUGUUUGGAUUGUUUAUUUUAAUAUUGGCAUGAAAUUGGAUUUGGUUGUAAUGUUUUGUAGAUUGUUUUCAUGAUAGUUGGUUCUAGGAUAUGUACACAUCGCCCGUCGCUCUCAAUUAACCC